rnacentral:lncRNA from 1 species
GGACCCCUCCCUGGACAGAGUGGCCCAUAUAAGGGGUCCCUUUGUCCCGUCGGUUUCUCUGCACACAGAAGCCGUCCAGUCGCUGCGUCCCGAAUUCGCCUUCUGCUUUGGUCCGAACCAUUAUUUGCUAUCAUGCAGGUGCAACACAGGGUCCUAGCGCUCGCAGGUGCGGUGGUCCUACUCCUGGCCAUUGUGGCGGCUGAUCAACCCCUGACUUCUUCGGACCCUACCACUCCAGCAGGUAGCCAGACAACAGGUAGGGCAAGGAAUUGUAGAGUUUUCUUUCUCGACUUAAGUGGGGCUGGAUAGUUGUUGUUGUGUGCCUUUAAACUCCUGGGAGUUGUGGUUUUGGUGGGCAGAAAAGGCAGAAGACCUUGUGAACCUCCAGCUCUCAGGAUUCCAUAGCAUUAAGCCACAGCAGUUGA